rnacentral:rRNA from 1 species
UACAGAGGUCCCAAGCGUUGUUCGGAUUCACUGGGCGUAAAGGGUGCGUAGGCGGCAGGGUAAGUUUGAUGUGAAAUCUCCGGGCUUAACCCGGAAACUGCAUUGAAUACUAUCCUGCUCGAGGUUUGGAGGGGGGACUGGAAUUCUCGGUGUAGCAGUGAAAUGCGUAGAUAUCGAGAGGAACACCAGUGGCGAAGGCGAGUCCCUGGACAACACCUGACACUGAGGCACGAAAGCUAGGGGAGCAAACAGG